UUUAAUUUCAGGACCAUCAGUUUUUAAUGCUGUACUAUCAAUCUACAGAAAGUAGUGGGAACGUUGAAACUACUUACCAUAUGUCAGACAUGAAAUUUCUCCCAUAUGUCAUGUAUUCAAUUUAGGUCACUUUCAUUUCCAUGAAUAAGAACUGAUUUAAAAGGAUUCAUUUAUAUAGCAUUUUCUCUGCCUCAGUUUUCCAAUUGCAUGCAGUUACUGAACUGCAGCAUGGGUGCUUUUAGGCCAGGAAGGUCAGCUGCCCAAUUAACCCCUGCUGAGUUGAGUGGAGAGGCGGGAAAUGACUAGGUUGGACCUUAACGGCUUCCUAUAAGAUGGGUUUGGCCAUUGAUUCAACAUGCUCACUUGACUGAAAAGCUACCGACAAAGUCAGACCGCAAAACAAGAGCCAGACACUCAUCUGGCCCAUCAGCCAACUGUGGCACUGGCGUGUCAGAC